UACAGUGUCAAAAAGUCUCAUCCCACCUGUGCUUGCACAAUGGUGGGAUAGUGACUUUGAGACACGCCCCUAUAUGAGCAUUAAAGUGGAGCGUAAGCUUCACGAUAUGCGAAUAUUGGGAUAGGAUUGUGAAAGUGCGAAGCACGUAACAAUCCGUGU
rnacentral:sRNA from 1 species